rnacentral:rRNA from 1 species
CCGACUGCUAUUUGGGUGAGGAUAAGCCAUGCGAGUUGAAUGGGAAACCUAAAGUUCCCAUGGCAAACUGCUCAGUAACACAUGAUCAACUUACCCUAUAGGGAAAAAUAACCUCGGGAAACUGAGGACAAUGUUUCAUAGUUGAAUUGGCUUGGAAAAGUUUUUCGACGAAAGGGGUAGAAAAAAUGGUUUUUAUCUGCUAUAGGAUAGGAUCGUGUUCGAUUAUGGUUGUUGGUGAGGUAAUGGCUCACCAAGCCGAUAAUCGAUAGGGGCCGUGAGAGCGGGAGCCCCGAGAUGGGUACUGAGACAACGACCCAGGCCUUACGAGGCGCAGCAGGCGCGAAACCUCCGCAAUACACGAAAGUGUGACGGGGUUACCCAAAGUGUUCAAUUUUGAACUGUGGUAGGUGAGUAAUGUUCCCUACUAGAAAGGAGAGGGCAAGGCUGGUGCCAGCCGCCGCGGUAAAACCAGCUCUUCAAGUGGUCGGGAUAAUUAUUGGGCUUAAAGUGUCCGUAGCCGGUUUAGUAAGUUCCUGGUAAAAUCGGGUAGCUUAACUAUCUGCAUGCUAGGAAUACUGCUAUACUAGAGGGCGGGAGAGGUCUGAGGUACUACAGGGGUAGGGGUGAAAUCUUAUAAUCCUUGUAGGACCACCAGUGGCGAAGGCGCCAGACUGGAACGCGCCUGACGGUGAGGGACGAAAGCCAGGGGAGCGAACCGGAUUAGAUACCCGGGUAGUCCUGGCCGUAAACGAUGCAUACUAGGUGAUGGUACGGCCAUGAGCCGUAUCAGUGCCGUAGGGAAACCGUUAAGUGUGCCGCCUGGGAAGUACGGUCGCAAGGCUAAAACUUAAAGGAAUUGGCGGGGGAGCACCACAAGGGGUGAAGCCUGCGGUUC